GAUGAACGCUGGCGGCGUGCCUAAUACAUGCAAGUCGAGCGAACAGACGAGGAGCUUGCUCCUCUGACGUUAGCGGCGGACGGGUGAGUAACACGUGGAUAACCUACCUAUAAGACUGGGAUAACUUCGGGAAACCGGAGCUAAUACCGGAUAAUAUAUUGAACCGCAUGGUUCAAUAGUGAAAGACGGUUUUGCUGUCACUUAUAGAUGGAUCCGCGCCGCAUUAGCUAGUUGGUAAGGUAACGGCUUACCAAGGCAACGAUGCGUAGCCGACCUGAGAGGGGGAUCGGCCACACUGGAACUGAGACACGGUCCAGACUCCUACGGGAGGCAGCAGUAGGGAAUCUUCCGCAAUGGGCGAAAGCCUGACGGAGCAACGCCGCGUGAGUGAUGAAGGUCUUCGGAUCGUAAAACUCUGUUAUGAGGGAAGAACAAAUGUGUAAGUAACUAUGCACGUCUUGACGGUACCUAAUCAGAAAGCCACGGCUAACUACGUG
rnacentral:rRNA from 1 species